rnacentral:rRNA from 1 species
GGGCGANGCCUGACGACGCAACGCCGCGUGGAGGAUGAAGGUCUUCGGAUUGUAAACUCCUGUCGAACGGGACGAACACCUUCCGGGUUAAUACUCCGGGAGGCUGACGGUACCGUGAGAGGAAGCCCCGGCUAACUCUGUGCCAGUAGCCGCGGUAAUACAGAGGGGGCAAGCGUUGUUCGGAAUUACUGGGCGUAAAGGGCGCGUAGGCGGCCUUCUAAGUCAGACGUGAAAUCCCUCGGCUCAACCGGGGAACUGCGUCUGAGACUGGAAGGCUUGAAUCCGGGAGAGGGAUGUGGAAUUCCAGGUGUAGCGGUGAAAUGCGUAGAUAUCUGGAGGAACACCGGUGGCGAAGGCGGCAUCCUGGACCGGUAUUGACGCUGAGGCGCGAAAGCCAGGGGAGCAAACGGGAUUAGAUACCCUGGUAGUCCACGCCGUAAACGAUGGGUGCUAGGUGUGGGGGGUGUCGACUCCCUCCGUGCCGAAGCUUACGCAUUAAGCACCCCGCCUGGGGAGUACGGCCGCAAGGCUAAAACUCAAAAAAAUUGACGGA